CAGUCGCCACGGGAAUACGGAGGGCGCGAGCGUUACCCGGAUUUACUGGGCGUAAAGGGCGUGUAGGCGGCCUGGGGCGUCCCAUGUGAAAGGCCACGGCUCAACCGUGGAGGAGCGUGGGAUACGCUCAGGCUAGAGGGUGGGAGAGGGUGGUGGAAUUCCCGGAGUAGCGGUGAAAUGCGCAGAUACCGGGAGGAACGCCGAUGGCGAAGGCAGCCACCUGGUCCACUUCUGACGCUGAGGCGCGAAAGCGUGGGGAGCAAACCGGAUUAGAUACCCGCGUAGUCCCUGUCUCUUAUAC
rnacentral:rRNA from 1 species